UGCUUGCACUAAACUCUGCCUGCACCAAACCCUGCCUCAGGGGUCAGUACUGGGACCAGCACUAUUCAAUAUAUUCACCAAUGACUUGGAUAGAGUGACUGUCAGCGAGUUUGCUGGUGACACCAAGCUGGGAGGAGUGGUGACACUGGAAGCUGUGCUGCCAUCAGAGACCUGGACAGGCUGGAGAGCUGGGCGGGAGAAAUGUGAUGAAAUAGAACAAGGGCAAGUGUAGAGUCUUGAAUGUGGGCAGAACAAGCCCAGGUUCCAGUGUAAGUUGGGAAUGAGCUGUUGGAGCAGUGAAAAGGGAGCUGGGGGUCCUGGGGACAGCAGGGGAACCAUGAGCCAGCACUGGGCCCUUGUGGCCAGGAAGCCAAUGGGACCUGGGGUGGGUUAGAAGGGGGUGGUCAGUAGGUCAGAGAGGUUCUCCUGCCCCUCUGCUCUGCCCUUGAAUAAAGGGUUUAGUUCAGACACUAUAAGGAUACACUUGAGAAACAUAUAUUUUCUAUAUAUGUGUAUAUAUAUAUGUAUAUACGCAGCCAUAGCACCCUGAGAACGCCCCAUCUCGUCUGAUCUGGGAAGCUAAGCAGGGUCGGGCCCGGUCAGUACUUGGAUGGGAGACCGUACAGAUACACAGCCAUAGCACCCUGAGAACACCUGAUCUGGGAAGCUAAGCAGGGUCAGGCCUGGUCAGUGCUUGGGUGGGAGACCAGCUGGGUCCAGAGAGGUUCUCCUGCCCCUCUGCUCUGCCCUGGGGAGACCACACCUGGAAUCUUGUGUCCAGCUGUGGCCCCUCAGUUCCAGCAGGACAGGGAACUGCUGGAGAGAGUCCAGCGCAGCCACCAAGAUGCUGGAGGGAGUGGAGCAUCUCCCGUGUGAGGAAAGGCUGAGGGAGCUGGGGCUCUGGAGCUGGACAAGAGGAGCCUGAGGGGGGACUCAUUGCUGGGGAUCAAGAUGGAAAGGGGCAGUGUCAGGAGGAUGGAGCCAGGCUCUUCUGGUGACAACCAGGGACAGGACAAGGGGCAAUGGGUGCAAACUGCAACACAGGGGUUGAGCCGCACUUGGCUCAACCAUCUCAGGAAGCCGGUGGUGACAGGAUGCAGCACCCCCCUGCACCCCAGUGCUGGGGAACGAACCCCCAGGGCCAUGUGCUGGUUAAACAAGGGCAGCGCUGUGAAGGCGAUACGGGGUGGGGGGGUGACCGGGAGAGCAAGGGGGGCGCGGGGCAGCGGGCUGCGGGGGGUCCCGCGUGGGUGCUCGUCCCCUCGGGGACACUUUGAAAUUGCCUUGUCCUGGUGUGCAGCACACAGCCCGCGGGGCUGGGGUCUCCAUCUGCUGAAGAUCCCCGGCCGUGUGCCCACCGCGGGCAGCACCGGCACCGCUUUGGCUGCACCGCUCCUGCCCACGGCCAGAGCCCCGCCGGAGCCAGGCGGACGGGCCCUGGCAGCGCGGCGGCCGGGUGGAGCCGGAGAACGUUUCUUGGCGAUCCAAGAGCUCGCUGCGAGUCCCGCAGGGCGUAGCCGGCUCCCGGCUGCCCACCCAUUGCGACACCGGCAGCCACCGGCGCGGUGCCAGCGCCCCGGGCGCCCGAGCUCGGCCUACCCCAGCGCCGGGCGGGCUCGCGCCCCGUGGCUUUCCCUCCCUGUCCCUCGCGCCCUGUUCAGACUUGAACGGCUGCGCCGUGCCGGGAGCCGGCGGCGCUGGAGCCGCGUCCCAGCGCGUCCCCUCGAGCUCGGGUCACCUCGCACGUCGCGGUGGGCGCAGAGCCGGGGAUGCUCCCAAUGCAGCCCCAGAAAUGUGCCCACGCAGCGCCCACCACCCCGGCACGAGCCCCCCGGACCGCGGCCGCCCCCAGACACUUAUUCACUGUAGCUGCGCAGGAUCGGGCCCCAGGGCUUGGAUGGGGUGACAGGCUCGUCCCCCCACCCCGCGGGAGCAGCUUCGGUGCCGCUCCAGGGCUCUGUGGGCUGGGGCUGUGGAACCCACCGUGCUGGCACGUCCCCAGGAGCCGGUGUCACCGAGCCGCGGUGGGGACGCCGGUCCUGCCGUCCCUGCGAGGACACGGGGCGGCGGAGCCAAAGCUGGAUCGUCUCACCCCAAACGUCUGUCGGGAUGGAGCAGGUGGAACGCAGAGGGGACAGGGCAGAGGGGACAGGGCUGAAGGGACAAGGGCUGAAGGGACAAGGGCUGAGGGGACAGAGGGGACAGGGCUGAAGGGACAAGGGCAGAGGGAACAGAGGGGACAGGGCUAAAGGGACAAGGGCUGAGGGGACAGAGGGGACAGAGCAGAGGGGACAGAGGGGACAGGGCAGAGGAGACAGAGGGG